rnacentral:rRNA from 1 species
GACGAACGCUGGCGGCGUGCUUAACACAUGCAAGUCGAACGGAAAGGCCCUGCUUUUGUGGGGUGCUCGAGUGGCGAAAAGGUGAGUAACACGUGAGUAGCCUGCCCUUGACUUUGGGAUAACUUCAGGAAACUGGGGCUAAUACCGGAUAGGAGCUCCUGCUGCAUGGUGGGGGUUGGAAAGUUUCGGCGGUUGGGGAUGGACUCGCGGCUUAUCAGCUUGUUGGUGGGGUAGUGGCUUACCAAGGCUUUGACGGGUAGCCGGCCUGAGAGGGUGACCGGCCACAUUGGGACUGAGAUACGGCCCAGACUCCUACGGGAGGCAGCAGUGGGGAAUAUUGCACAAUGGGCGGAAGCCUGAUGCAGCAACGCCGCGUGCGGGAUGACGGCCUUCGGGUUGUAAACCGCUUUCGCCUGUGACGAAGCGUGAGUGACGGUAAUGGGUAAAGAAGCACCGGCUAACUACGUG